AUUGAACGCUGGCGGCAGGCCUAACACAUGCAAGUCGAGCGGAUGAAGGGAGCUUGCUCCUGGAUUCAGCGGCGGACGGGUGAGUAAUGCCUAGGAAUCUGCCUGGUAGUGGGGGAUAACGUCCGGAAACGGGCGCUAAUACCGCCUACGUCCUGAGGGAGAAAGUGGGGGAUCUUCGGACCUCACGCUAUCAGAUGAGCCUAGGUCGGAUUAGCUAGUUGGUGGGGUAAAGGCCUACCAAGGCGACGAUCCGUAACUGGUCUGAGAGGAUGAUCAGUCACACUGGAACUGAGACACGGUCCAGACUCCUACGGGAGGCAGCAGUGGGGAAUAUUGGACAAUGGGCGAAAGCCUGAUCCAGCCAUGCCGCGUGUGUGAAGAAGGUCUUCGGAUUGUAAAGCACUUUAAGUUGGGAGGAAGGGCAAUAAGUUAAUACCUUGCUGUUUUGACGUUACCAACAGAAUAAGCACCGGCUAACUUCGUG
rnacentral:rRNA from 1 species